rnacentral:rRNA from 1 species
UACGUAGGGUGCGAGCGUUAAUCGGAAUUACUGGGCGUAAAGCGUGCGCAGGCGGUGAUGUAAGACAGGUGUGAAAUCCCCGGGCUUAACCUGGGAACUGCAUUUGUGACUGCAUCGCUGGAGUGCGGCAGAGGGGGGAUGGAAUUCCGCGUGUAGCAGUGAAAUGCGUAGAGAUCGGGGAGGAACACCAGUGGCGAAGGCGGCUCGCUGGGCCGGUCCUGACACUGAGACGCGAAGGCGUGGGGAGCGAACGGG